GGGUUAGGAACUAGGCAAAAUGGUACCGUAACUUCGGGAGAAGGUACGCCUCUAUUACGUGAAAGAACUUGCUUCUCGAGCGGAAAGAGGUCGAAGAUACCAGAUGGCUGCGACUGUUUACUAAAAACAUAGCACUCUGCAAACACUAAUGUGGAAGUAUAGGGUGUGACGCCUGCCCGGUGCCGGAAGGUUAAUUGAUCAGGUUAGUCCUCGGACGAAGCUUGUGAUCGAAGCCCCGGUGAACGGCGGCCGUAACUAUAACGGUCCUAAGGUAGCGAAAUUCCUUGUCGGGUAAGUUCCGACCUGCACGAAUGGCGUAACGAUGGCCAUACUGUCUCGACCCAGGACUCAGUGAAAUUGAAUUUGCGGUGAAGAUGCCGUAUACGCGCGGCAAGACGGAAAGACCCCGUGCACCUUUACUAUAGCUUCACACUGGACUUUGAAUUUAUAUGUGUAGGAUAGGUGGGAGACUUUGAAGCAUAGGCGUCAGCUUAUGUGGAGUCGUCCUUGAAAUACCACCCUUAUACAUUUGAGGUUCUAACUUAGACCCGUUAUCCGGGUUGAGGACAGUGUGUGGUGGGUAGUUUGACUGGGGCGGUCUCCUCCCAAAGAGUAACGGAGGAGUACGAAGGUAUCCUCAGCAUGGUCAGACAUCAUGCAAUGAGUGCAAUGGCAAAAGGAUGCUUAACUGCGAGACUGACAAGUCGAGCAGGUACGAAAGUAGGUCAUAGUGAUCCGGUGGUUCUGUAUGGAAGGGCCAUCGCUCAACGGAUAAAAGGUACGCCGGGGAUAACAGGCUUAUACCCCCCAAGAGUUCACAUCGACGGGGGUGUUUGGCACCUCGAUGUCGGCUCAUCACAUCCUGGGGCUGGAGCAGGUCCCAAGGGUAUGGCUGUUCGCCAUUUAAAGUGGUACGCGAGCUGGGUUUAGAACGUCGUGAGACAGUUCGGUCCCUAUCUGCCGUGCGCGUUGGAUAUUUGAGAGGAGUUGCUCCUAGUACGAGAGGACCGGAGUGAACGAACCUCUGGUGUUCGGGUUGUCACGCCAGUGGCAUUGCCCGGUAGCUAUGUUCGGAAAGGAUAACCGCUGAAAGCAACUAAGUGGGAAGCCUACCUCAAGAUGAGAUAUCCCUGAACCUUCGGGUUCCUGAAGAGCCGUUCAAGACUAGGACGUUGAUAGGCAGGGUGUGUAAGUGCUGUAAGGCAUUGAGCUAACCUGUACUAAUUGCUCGUGAGGCUUAACUUA
rnacentral:rRNA from 1 species